AUUGAACGCUGGCGGCAGGCCUAACACAUGCAAGUCGAGCGAGCGGCGGACGGGCGAGUAAUGUAUGGGGACUGCCCGACAGAGGGGGAUAACGACUGGAAACGGUAGCUAAUACCGCAUACUAUCGGUUAACCUAUAUGGGGUUAGCUAGUAGGUGUGGUAAGGGCCCACCAAGGCGACGAUCCCUAGCUGGUCUGAGAGGAUGAUCAGGCAGACUAGGGCUGAGACACGGCCCGGACUCCUACGGAGGCAGCGGAGGGGGGUAUUGCACACUGAGCGCAAGCCUGAUGCAGCCAUGCCACGUGUAUGAAGGAAGCCCUAGGGUUGUGAAGUACUUUCAGUCGGGAGGCGUUACCGACAGGAGAAGCACCGGCUAACGCCGUGCCAGCAGCCGCGGUAAUAC
rnacentral:rRNA from 1 species